rnacentral:rRNA from 1 species
CGCGUAGGUGGCUUGUCAGGUCUGAUGUGAAAUCUCGGGGCUCAACCCCGAACGUGCAUCGGAAACCGGCUUGCUAGAGUCUGGGAGAGGAGAGUGGAAUUCCUGGUGUAGCGGUGAAAUGCGUAGAUAUCAGGAGGAACACCGGUAGCGAAGGCGGCUCUCUGGAACAGUACUGACACUGAGGCGACGAAAGCGUAGGGGAGCGAACA